AUGAACAAUGUAUACAAGCUGCACGCCAACCUCAUCAAAACGGGGAACCAUUCCAAUCCUGUUUCCCUCCGAAGCUUCGUCCUCCACUGCGCCCGAUCGCCACUACCCGAAGCUCCACGCUAUGCAGCCACCCUCCUCCUCAGCCACCCCACCAUCUCCGUCCCCAGCGACCCCUUCCUCUUCAACACCCUCAUCAAAACCACCCCUUCUUCCUUCUCCAUCUCCCUAUUCUCCUUCAUGCACCGAACCCCCCACCACCCUUUUGAUCACUUCACCUUCCCCCUUGUCCUCACCGCCUUGAAAAGCCAUCUUGACCCUCACCAUCUCCACUCACUCAUUAUCAAGCUUGGAUUCUACUCCAGUCUCUACGUUCACAAUGCACUUAUUGGUGCUUAUGGUUUUCGUGGGUCCAUUCAGUUUGCAGUUAAGGUGUUUGAUGAAAUGCCCCAUAGGGACUUGGUUUCUUGGUCCUCCUUGAUUUCUUGCUUGGCAAGGAACGGGAUGCCUGCUGAAGCUCUUGGGGUUUUCCGGCAAAUGCAGGUCCAGGAGUGUGGAUUGAAACUCGAUGAGGUUGUCAUGUUGAGUGUGGUGUCUGCGGUUUCGAGCUUGGGAGCAUUGGAAUUGGGUAUAUGGGUUCAUGGUUUUAUUUUAAGGAGUGGGAUUGAUGUUGGGGUUCUGUUGGGCACUGCGCUUGUUGAUAUGUACUCGAGGUGUGGGUCAAUUGACAGGGCGGCGAAGGUGUUCGAAGAAAUGCCAUAUAGGAAUGUUGUUACUUGGACAACAUUGAUCAGUGGGUUUGCAGUUCAUGGCAGAAGUAGGGAGGCCUUGGAGGCAUUUCACAGGAUGAGGGAGUCUGGUUUGAAGCCUGAUCGCAUUGCUUUUACUGGUGCGUUGAUGGCUUGUAGCCAUGGUGGUCUUGUGGAGGAGGGUUGGCAGGUAUAUGAAUCCAUGAGAAGCGAGUACCAGAUGGAACCGAUGCUGGAGCAUUAUGGUUGUAUGGUUGAUCUCCUUGGUCGAGCAGGAUUGCUUGAUGAGGCUUUUAAGUUUGUGCAGGAAAUGCCAAUCCAGCCAAACUCUGUUAUUUGGAGGACCCUGCUUGGGGCUUGUGUGAAUCAUAACUAUCUUGCAUUGGCUGAGAAAGCCAAGGAGCGGAUCACUGAGCUGGAACCCCAUCACGAUGGUGAUUAUGUGCUUAUGUCGAACGCCUAUGGCAGAGUUGGUAAAUGGGUUGAGAAGGCCGGGCUGAGGAAUUCGAUGAGGGAGAAUAGGAUUGCAAAGGAGCCUGGCUGUAGUUGGCUCCAUGUUGAUCAAACAGUUCAUGAGUUUGUAUCAGGAGAUAAUUCUCAUCCACAAUGGGAAGAGAUUUCAAAGUUUCUAGAUUCAGUUAUAGACACUGUGAAAGUUGGAGGUUACACCCAAAAUACCUCCAAUGUGCUGCAUGACAUCCAAGAGGAGGAGAAAGAACAUUCUCUGGGUUAUCAUAGUGAGAAACUGGCAGUAGCUUAUCUGCUUCUUUAUCAUAGGGAUAGAAGGACCAUCAGGGUUAUCAAGAAUCUUAGGAUUUGUUAUGACUGUCAUAGUUUCAUGAAGCAUGUUUCAGGUAUCUUUGACAAAGAUAUCAUUAUUAGGGACCGAAAUCGGUUCCAUCAUUUCAAUAAGGGAUCAUGUUCUUGUCGGGAUUUUUGGUAAAGCAUGCAAGUUCAACCUAUAACCUAUAUUUCAAGUCCUACACUCAACAACUUGCAACAAUGUUCAUUUAUCUAUUUAUAAUUUCCAUGCCAAAUUCAGGAAGAUGGGAGAAAAAGAGAAUAAAUGUGAGAAGCACAAGAGAUACAUAUCCAUUAUUUCCUUAUAAGUAGAACUUAUUCAAUUUAGUUUUCAAAGCAUCAAGAACUAAAAGAGCUAACAAGAUGGUGUGUUCGCUAAUGGUAUGGAUUGCGUUUUGGACUCUACUUUUGAUUUCUGUGUCGGU